GACGAACGCUGGCGGCGUGCUUAACACAUGCAAGUCGAACGGAAAGGCCCUGCUUUUGUGGGGUGCUCGAGUGGCGAACGGGUGAGUAACACGUGAGUAACCUGCCCUUGACUUUGGGAUAACUUCAGGAAACUGGGGCUAAUACCGGAUAGGAGCUCCUGCUGCAUGGUGGGGGUUGGAAAGUUUCGGCGGUUGGGGAUGGACUCGCGGCUUAUCAGCUUAUUGGUGGGGUAGUGGCUUACCAAGGCUUUGACGGGUAGCCGGCCUGAGAGGGUGACCGGACACAUUGGGACUGAGAUACGGCCCAGACUACUACGGGAGGCAGGAGUGGGGAAUAUUGCACAAUGGGCGGAAGCCUGAUGCAGCAACGCCGCGUGCGGGAUGACGGGCUUCGGGUUGUAAACCGCUUUCGCCUGUGACGAAGCGUGAGUGACGGUAAUGGGUAAAGAAGCACCGGCUAACUACGUG
rnacentral:rRNA from 1 species